rnacentral:rRNA from 1 species
CAGUUUUACUGACGCUCAUGCUCGAAAGUGCGGGUAUCGAACAGGAUUAGAUACCCUGGUAGUCCGCACGGUAAACGAUGGAUGCCCGCUGUUUGCCUUUGAGGUAAGCGGCCAAGCGAAAGCAUUAAGCAUCCCACCUGGGGAGUACGCCGGCAACGGUGAAACUCCAAGGAAUUGACGGGGGCCCGCACAAGCGGAGGAACAUGUGGUUUAAUUCGAUGAUACGCGAGGAACCUUACCCGGGCUUGAACUGCACAGGAAUGCGGGAGAGAUCCCAAAGCCCCUCGGGGCCUGUGUGGAGGUGCUGCAUGGUUGUCGUCAGCUCGUGCCGUGAGGUGUCGGCUUAAGUGCCAUAACGAGCGCAACCCUUCUCUUCAGUUGCCAUCACUUCGGGUGGGCACUCUGGAGACACUGCCACCGUAAGGUGUGAGGAAGGUGGGGAUGACGUCAAAUCAGCACGGCCCUUACGUCCGGGGCUACACACGUGUUACAAUGGCGCGUACAGAGGGCCGGCAUACGGUAACGUGUGUCUAAUCCUUAAAACGCGUCUCAGUUCGGACUGGGGUCUGCAACCCGACCCCACGAAGCUGGAUUCGCUAGU